GCUGCCACGACGUUACAGCAUGCUGAAAAUAUUUCCGAGGCGCGAUUUUGGCGAGUUCUAGCCAAUUUCGGGAAAGGUUUUGAGGACAAUGAUGUGGACGUGAUUAAGAGAAGUCCAUACAAGGUACAGAUGUUUAUUCUGGAGAUCCAUCAGCAUAGGAGUUCCUCUCAGCUGUGUCGGAAGUGCUUCACUGUUCUGGAGCCUAAAUUUUGAUGCUGGUCACUUAAUGUAUAUAUUUGUACAUUCAGGGGUACGGCGGGGGCCUUGUUCCGCCAUAUGUUG